GAAAGACGAACUUAUAUUAAUUCAAAUCGGAAAGAGCAAUAUUUGAAAGCCAGGUAGGAAACCCCGACUUCCAAAUCAUUACAUUAGAAAGAGAUAAAGCAAAACGAGCAAGCUCAUGAGCUGCUCUAUUAGCCUCACGUCGAGCAUGAAAAAACUCUAAAACCACAGUGUCACGGGCAUGAGCAAAGGUCUCGUAUAAAUCAUCACAGAGCGAGUCGGAACCAUGCUGAGAAUCAUGGAGUAAAUGUAUAGCCAAAAGGGAAUCCG
rnacentral:lncRNA from 1 species